rnacentral:rRNA from 1 species
GACGAACGCUGGCGGCGUGCCUAAUACAUGCAAGUAGGACGCAGUUGCGAACGGGUGAGUAACGCGUAGGUAACUACCUAUUAGAGGGGGCUAACUAUUGUAAACGAUAGCUAAUACCGCAUACUAGUAGAUGUACCUGCGUUGUAUUAGCUAGUAUGUAGGGUAAAGGCCUACCUAGGCAACGAUACAUAGCCGAGCUGGGGGGGUGAUCGGCCAAACUGGGACUGAGAAAAGGCCCAGACUCCUACGGGAGGCAGCAGUAGGGAAUCUUCGGCAAUGGGGGGAAACCUGACCGAGCAACGCCGCGGGAGUGAAGAAGGUUUUCGGAUCGUAAAGCUCUGUUGUUAAGGAAGCGGUACUUAACCAGAAAGGGACGGCUAACUACGUGCCAGCAGCCGCGGUAAUAC